CAAUUCAAUUCUCACUCAAAAAUACUUUAUCAAACUCAUCACUCUCUCCCUCCCUCUCAAACUUCAACAAAAACGGCUUUGAAUCUCAAGACUCCAAUCCAACACUCUCCAUCUUUGGCUUCAUCUCCUCAAUACCUUCAUGGGUCAAGGCUUGUUUUUCGCUUACAAAAAUCCUCUUCAAUCUCCUUCCCACACUCUCCUUCUCUCCCAGGCUUCGCAAUUGGAACCGAGGUAGCUUUUGAGAGGAAGGACCGUUUCUCGGUUGUUGAAACGGCAGCCGUGAGAGAAUUGACUGGAUCGUUGACUAGAAGUGAGGGGCUCCGCUUUGCUCUGGUGGUUUGGAUUUGGGUUGUUUUCGUAUUUGUGAAUUGUUAAGGUUGUGGCGCGGUUUAAUGAGAUUGUGACGAAGCCAUUGUUGUAGGGAGCUUUGGAGACUUUCAGAAAAUAUUCAGUUAAAGAAGAAGAUAUUGAUGUAUGUAGCUAAUUCUUUUUAAGAUUAUAACUGUAAUUGAUUCACUCGAUUCCAAGUUUACUUUUGUAUGGUAACUUGUAAUUUGGAAAACAUACUAGAACUUCUUCCAAAUGGGGAGGAAUUUGAUGAAAUUUGGAGAACUUCCAUCAAAUUUUGAGAGAGAUUUAUUAUUAACAGUAAAUAUAUUGUAUAUAUUUA